CUUAAAAAAAGAGGUUAAAAAAAAUUAAACGAUUUUUAUUUCAUCUGUGACGAAUUUAUGUAGAGCGGGUAAUUUGUAUAUAAGCAGAAAAAUGAAUGAUUUUGGUGAAAAUCAUAAUAGUUGAUACAGUUAUUCGGAUUACUUCAACAGUAGAACAAUGAAAUCUUUUGUGAUUCUUGUCCUCAUCAUCGCUUCCUUGAGUUCUCUUUCAAUGGGAGAUCAUGUUCAUGGUCAUGGAUUUCAUGGACAUUUUCAUCCCCAUGGAUAUGAGGUCAGUAUAGACCACCAUCCCCACCAUCAUCACGGACAUCAUGACGGACAAGGAACUAGCCACCGUUAUUUCCAUAUGGAUCAUGGUCAUCACCACCACCAUUAGCUUUUAGAAUAUGGUAACUUCCGUUGCAAUGAUGUUCAAAGUCAAGAUGAAACAAAGGCUUUUAGUUUACUGUUGUUAAAACCUUAAUAUGCAUUUAAGAACCUUGAAAUGCUUUGCAAUAUCUGUGAUAGUAACGAAAAUGUGUUAAAAAUAAGCACAAAAAAAAAAAAAA